AGAGUUUGAUCAGGGCUCAGAUUGAACGCUGGCGGCAGGCCUAACACAUGCAAGUCGAACGGUAACAGGAAACAGCUUGCUGUUUCGCUGACGAGUGGCGGACGGGUGAGUAAUGUCUGGGAAACUGCCUGAUGGAGGGGGACAACUACUGGAAACGGUAGCUAAUACCGCAUAACGUCGCAAGACCAAAGAGGGGGACCUUCGGGCCUCUUGCCAUCAGAUGUGCCCAGAUGGGAUUAGCUAGUAGGUGGGGUAACGGCUCACCUAGGCGACGAUCCCUAGCUGGUCUGAGAGGAUGACCAGCCACACUGGAACUGAGACACGGUCCAGACUCCUACGGGAGGCAGCAGUGGGGAAUAUUGCACAAUGGGCGCAAGCCUGAUGCAGCCAUGCCGCGUGUAUGAAGAAGGCCUUCGGGUUGUAAAGUACUUUCAGCGGGGAGGAAGGGAGUAAAGUUAAUACCUUUGCUCAUUGACGUUACCCGCAGAAGAAGCACCGGCUAACUCCGUGCCAGCAGCCGCGGUAAUACGGAGGGUGCAAGCGUUAAUCGGAAUUACUGGGCGUAAAGCGCACGCAGGCGGUUUGUUAAGUCAGAUGUGAAAUCCCCGGGCUCAACCUGGGAACUGCAUCUGAUACUGGCAAGCUUGAGUCUCGUAGAGGGGGGUAGAAUUCCAGGUGUAGCGGUGAAAUGCGUAGAGAUCUGGAGAAAUACCGGUGGCGAAGGCGGCCCCCUGGACGAAGACUGACGCUCAGGUGCGAAAGCGUGGGGAGCAAACAGGAUUAGAUACCCUGGUAGUCCACGCCGUAAACGAUGUCGACUUGGAGGUUGUGCCCUUGAGGCGUGGCUUCCGGAGCUAACGCGUUAAGUCGACCGCCUGGGGAGUACGGCCGCAAGGUUAAAACUCAAAUGAAUUGACGGGGGCCCGCACAAGCGGUGGAGCAUGUGGUUUAAUUCGAUGCAACGCGAAGAACCUUACCUGGUCUUGACAUCCACGGAAGUUUUCAGAGAUGAGAAUGUGCCUUCGGGAACCGUGAGACAGGUGCUGCAUGGCUGUCGUCAGCUCGUGUUGUGAAAUGUUGGGUUAAGUCCCGCAACGAGCGCAACCCUUAUCCUUUGUUGCCAGCGGUCCGGCCGGGAACUCAAAGGAGACUGCCAGUGAUAAACUGGAGGAAGGUGGGGAUGACGUCAAGUCAUCAUGGCCCUUACGACCAGGGCUACACACGUGCUACAAUGGCGCAUACAAAGAGAAGCGACCUCGCGAGAGCAAGCGGACCUCAUAAAGUGCGUCGUAGUCCGGAUUGGAGUCUGCAACUCGACUCCAUGAAGUCGGAAUCGCUAGUAAUCGUGGAUCAGAAUGCCACGGUGAAUACGUUCCCGGGCCUUGUACACACCGCCCGUCACACCAUGGGAGUGGGUUGCAAAAGAAGUAGGUAGCUUAACCUUCGGGAGGGCGCUUACCACUUUGUGAUUCAUGACUGGGGUGAAGUCGUAACAAGGUAACCGUAGGGGAACCUGCGGUUG
rnacentral:rRNA from 1 species